UAACCUGACCUUUCUGCUAUCCUGGCCGAGGUGCUCGUCUUUUAAUGUUAGCCACUCAUGCUUUGUCUAAAGCUGUCUCUCUCACCACUCUGGGCAGACGCCCGCAUAGUGCAGGCUUUCAGCCGCUGGUCCGACGCAGUGCAUCUUGCAUUCGGCUCAUUCCUCGCUUUGUCAUCUGGCUCAGUGUACUGUUUCUGUUCUGUUAACUCUGUUUCGUUCUUCUCGUUCCUCGCCCAAGAGGUAUACAGCACGCUCGUUCAGAAUCGGCGUGGCCACCACGGCCACUAAGCGGGGUCUGUCCCCUACUGCGAUCAAGGCGCUGGGCCGUUGGUCGUCUGGCGCAUACGCUUCCUGCAUUUGCCUCACUCCUCAUCACGUCGUUGAAGCAUGCUAUAUCUGGUCACGAUUCCGGCUCUCUACCUACUGUCAUAAUCUAAGUUUUCAGCGCUCUCCUGACCAAGGUGCAUCUAUCAAUCAAAUCAUAACGCUCUGCUGUGUCUCUGCUCUCAGCGCAUCCGCGCCAUGUCUUCUCGCAUAGCCUAAGAUGGUGUCUCCUUGUAAGCGGUAGUUAAGCCGAUUUUGAAGCCACCACCACCCCUCCGUCCACCGUCACCAGAGGUUCCCGUCUGUUAGGGGGCAGGCUACGCCCGCCUCCAUCUCCGCUGGAGGAUAUGCUGUCCUAUCCCGGAGUUCAACGCGAAGACGGGAACCUUCGCCAAACUGAUUCAUGCAUUUUAUCAAGUGUUAUUGUUCGCCAAACUUUUAUGCAUUCCUGUAUCAUGUCUAAUGUUCAAUAAAUGUUAAUAACGUU